UAGGGAAUCUUCCACAAUGGACGCAAGUCUGAUGGAGCAACGCCGCGUGAGUGAAGAAGGCUUUCGGGUCGUAAAACUCUGUUAUUGAAGAAGAACGUGUGUGACAGUAACUGGUCAUGCAGUGACGGUAUUCAAUCAGAAAGUCACGGCUAACUACGUGCCAGCAGCCGCGGUAAUACGUAGGUGGCAAGCGUUGUCCGGAUUUAUUGGGCGUAAAGCGAGUGCAGGCGGUCUUUUAAGUCUGAUGUGAAAGCCUUCGGCUUAACCGAAGAAGGGCAUCGGAAACUGGGAGACUUGAGUGCAGAAGAGGAGAGUGGAACUCCAUGUGUAGCGGUGAAAUGCGUAGAUAUAUGGAAGAACACCAGUGGCGAAGGCGGCUCUCUGGUCUGUAACUGACGUUGAGGCUCGAAAGCGUGGGUAGCAAACAGGAUUAGAUACCCUGGUAGUCCACGCCG
rnacentral:rRNA from 1 species